AACGAACGCUGGCGGCAGGCUUAACACAUGCAAGUCGAACGCACCGCAAGGUGAGUGGCAGACGGGUGAGUAACGCGUGGGAACGUGCCCUUUGGUACGGAAUAGCUCGGGGAAACCUGAGGUAAUACCGUAUGUGCCCUUCGGGGGAAAGAUUUAUCGCCAAAGGAUCGGCCCGCGUCGGAUUAGCUAGUUGGUGAGGUAACGGCUCACCAAGGUUACGAUCCGUAGCUGGUCUGAGAGGAUGAUCAGCCACACUGGGACUGAGACACGGCCCAGACUCCUACGGGAGGCAGCAGUGGGGAAUAUUGGACAAUGGGCGCAAGCCUGAUCCAGCCAUGCCGCGUGAGUGAUGACGGCCUUAGGGUUGUAAAGCUCUUUCAGCGGGGAAGAUAAUGACAUUACCCGCAGAAGAAGCCCCGGCUAACUUCGUGCCAGCAGCCGCCGUAAAAC
rnacentral:rRNA from 1 species